GUGGAAUUGUGGCUCAGUGGGCAGAGUGCUUGCCUAGCAUGCAUGAGGCACUGAGUUCAAUCCCCGGCACCACA
rnacentral:tRNA from 1 species